ACGGCGGAGGACGACGGUCGCGGUCCGCGGCGACGCGGGCCGAGGAAAGUCCGAGCUCCAACGGGCAGACUGCCAGGUAACGCCUGGGCGCCGCAAGGCGACGGACAGGGCCACAGAGAACAGACCGCCCGUCCAAGAGGCGGGUAAGGGUGAAACGGUGGGGUAAGAGCCCACCGCACGGCUGGUAACAGCUCGUGGCACGGCAACCCCCAGUCGGAGCAAGGCCAAAUAGGCGGCGAGGUCCGGCCCGGACCGUUAGAGCCGCGGGUAGGCCGCACGAGGUGGCGGGUGACCGCCAUCCCAGAGAGAUGACCGUCCGGGCGCUCGAUGCGAGCGGCCGAACAGAACUCGGCUUACGUCUCCGCCACCCCU
rnacentral:RNase_P_RNA from 2 species